rnacentral:tRNA from 1 species
GCCGAAGUGGUGGAACUGGUAGACACGACGGAUUCAAAAUCCGUUGCCUUUGCGGGCUUGGGGGGUUCGAGUCCCCCCUUCGGUACCA